rnacentral:rRNA from 1 species
CCUACGGGUGGCUGCAGUGGGGAAUAUUGGACAAUGGGGGGAACCCUGAUCCAGCCAUGCCGCGUGUGUGAAGAAGGCCCUCGGGUUGUAAAGCACUUUCAGUGAGGAAGAACGCCUGGUGGUUAAUACCCAUCAGGAAAGACAUCACUCACAGAAGAAGCACCGGCUAACUCCGUGCCAGCAGCCGCGGUAAUACGGAGGGUGCGAGCGUUAAUCGGAAUUACUGGGCGUAAAGCGCGCGUAGGUGGCUGGAUAAGCCGGUUGUGAAAGCCCCGGGCUCAACCUGGGAACGGCAUCCGGAACUGUCAAGCUAGAGUGCAGGAGAGGAAGGUAGAAUUCCCGGUGUAGCGGUGAAAUGCGUAGAGAUCGGGAGGAAUACCAGUGGCGAAGGCGGCCUUCUGGACUGACACUGACACUGAGGUGCGAAAGCGUGGGUAGCAAACAGGAUUAGAUACCCCGGUAGUC